UACGUAGGGGACAAGCGUUGUCCGGAUUUAUUGGGCGUAAAGAGCGUGUAGGCGGCCAUGUAGGUCCGUUGUGAAAACUCGAGGCUCAACCUCGAGACGCCGAUGGAAACCAUGUGGCUAGAGUCCGGAAGAGGAGAGUGGAAUUCCUGGUGUAGCGGUGAAAUGCGCAGAUAUCAGGAAGAACACCCGUGGCUAAGGCGGCUCUCUAGUACGGUACUGACGCUGAGACGCGAAAGCGUGGGGAGCGAACAGG
rnacentral:rRNA from 1 species